ACUACGGGCGGCAGCAGUGGGGAAUAUUGCACAAUGGGGGAAACCCUGAUGCAGCGACGCCGCGUGAGUGAGGAAGGAUUUCGGGAUGUAAAGCUCUAUCAGCAGGGAAGAAAAUGACGGUACCUGACUAAGAAGCCCCGGCUAACUACGUGCCAGCAGCCGCGGUAAGACGUAGGGGGCAAGCGUUAUCCGGAUUUACUGGGUGUAAAGGGAGCGUAGACGGCUAAUCAAGUCAGAAGUGAAAACCAAGGGCUCAACUUUGGGACUGCUUUUGAAACUGAGUAGCUAGAGUGCAGGAGAGGUAAGCGUAAUUCCUAGUGUAGCGGUGAAAUGCGUAGAUAUUAGGAGGAACCCCAGUGGCGAAGGCGGCUUACUGGACUGUACCUGACGUUGCGGCUCGAAAGCGUGGGGAGCAAACAGGAUUCGAUACCCCAGUAGUC
rnacentral:rRNA from 1 species